rnacentral:rRNA from 1 species
UACGAAGGGGCUAGCGUUGCUCGGAAUCACUGGGCGUAAAGGUGCGUAGGCGGGUCUUUAAGUCAGGGGUGAAAUCCUGGAGCUCAACUCCAGAACUGCCUUUGAUACUGAAGAUCUUGAGUUCGGGAGAGGUGAGUGGAACUGCGAGUGCAGAGGUGAAAUUCGUAGAUAUUCGCAAGAACACCAGUGGCGAAGGCGGCUCACUGGCCCGAUACUGACGCUGAGGCACGAAAGCGUGGGGAGCAAACAGG